AAUCAACGCUGGCGGCGUGCCUAACACAUGCAAGUCGAACGAGAAAGUGGAGCAAUCCAUGAGUAAAGUGGCGACCGGGUGAGUAACACGUGACUAACCUACCCUUGAAUGGGGAAUAACCUUCCGAAAGGAGGGCUAAUACCGCAUAAAGUCCUAAGGAUGAAACGCCUAAGGACCAAAGGAGCAAUUCGUUUAAGGAGGGGGUCGCGGUUGAUUAGCUAGUUGGUGGGGUAAUGGCCCACCAAGGCGANGAUCAAUAGCCGGCCUGAGAGGGCGCACGGCCACACUGGAACUGAAACACGGUCCAGACUCCUACGGGAGGCAGCAGGUGGGGAAUUUUGCGCAAGUGGGGGAAACCCUGACGCAAGCAACGCCGCGUGAAGGAUGAAGUCUUUGGAUUGUAACUUCUUUCGAUCGGAAGAUAAUGACGGUACCGAGAGAAGAAGCCCCGCUAACUUCGU
rnacentral:rRNA from 1 species